rnacentral:ncRNA from 2 species
AAAUUAUCAAGAAAGGACGAGGGAACAGACCCGAUGACUCCUUAGCAACCCUUAAUUCUAAAUUAAGAAGGUGCUACUUUCUGCCUAGUUAAUAGGAGAGAUGAUAU